rnacentral:rRNA from 1 species
AACGCGAAGAACCUUACCAAGGUUUGACAUACAGGGAAAAGCCGUAGAGAUAUGGUGUCCGCAAGGGUCCUGUACAGGUGGUGCAUGGCUGUCGUCAGCUCGUGUCGUGAGAUGUUGGGUUAAGUCCCGCAACGAGCGCAACCCUCGUUCUAUGUUGCCAGCGGAUAAUGCCGGGGACUCAUAGGAGACUGCCGGGGUCAACUCGGAGGAAGGUGGGGAUGACGUCAAGUCCUCAUGCCCCUUAUAUCUUGGGCUGCAAACAUGCUACAAUGGCCGGUACAGAGGGCUGCGAGACCGCAAGGUGGAGCGAAUCUCAAAAAGCCGGUCUCAGUUCGGAUUGGGGUCUGCAACUCGACCCCAUGAAGUCGGAGUCGCUAGUAAUCGCGAAUCAGCAACGUCGCGGUGAAUACGUUCCCGGGCCUUGUA